AUUAAAUCAGUGAGAAGGAAGUAGUAAAAGAGUAAUAAAAGUAAAAGAGAGAUUAUGGUUGGUGCAAAUAAUCCUUUUAUCCUUUGAAUUCGUCCUUUGAGUCUUAAAGCAAAACUUUAGGCGUUACUCGCGUUAAGAGAUUAGAGUGUAUAGAAAACUAUAAAAUAAGGUGGUACCACGGAUAUGCUUCGUCCUUAGU
rnacentral:ncRNA from 1 species